UGAAUGGCCAAGAAAGAGAUUACAAAUUGAGUUUGAAACAGAGGAUUAACGAGGAAAUCCCCAUCAUACGAGGCUUUGGCAGCAAGCUUAUGAGCUGCGGAAUUACAAUGGUGGGGAAUAAAGCAAAAACUUUUAGCUGUAAAAGAACUGUUAAGAGCUGAAAUAUCAUGGAAUAGUCCCUGAAUGUCGAGAGGGGCAGAGAAUCCCAUUACACUGCGACUGACAACUUGUGCAUCGCCUUCAAAAAUAACCAUCGAAAACCCCUGACCAAGCUAGCAUGACUGCCUCUCUACGUGCCAUCCCUUUUAGAACUAGUAGAUCUGUUAUCCCUCUAAUUCUUCUGCAACUCCAUCCCAUUGGAUAGCCUUGGGAAUUCCUGGCAAUUGCCGCAAUAGAUCCUGUCCUGUUGCGCCUGUUGACCCCUGCAUCAAAGUUAAGUUUGAUAAUUCCUGAAGGAGGAGGAACCCAGGUUUGCAACCAGGCUUAUUGCCCACUCGUUUAUUUGAUCCAGAAAAUGGAAAUCUAUAUUUAGAGGCGGAUGAGUGGCCAUACAAAUAACUUUGGCAACUAAACUACAAGGAAUUGACAUCACAUUGCAAAUCGAAAUUAAACAAAAACCGAUCUGCUGCGGACCCUAUCGGUUCAUAGUUAUUCUGAAGGCAAAGGAAUUUCCUUUUCUUUUGUUCACUUCUCCGAGUUGAUAGCUACUGUGAAAAAUAAAGGGAAUUGUAAUUACUAGAGCCAAAAACAAUUGCAAAAAUUUUGUUAAUUACAUCAUUAAAAAGAAAUUAAGGAAAACUUGCAUCAUCAAAGGAACGGAACCAUCACUCCCCUGCGUCUCUGCUCUCUGUUCUUUAAAAAUGCAACAAGCCCACAAAAACCUCUCUCUUCAGCGCGCGUCUUCUGUCUCUCU
rnacentral:misc_RNA from 1 species